AGUCUGUAUUUUCUCUACCCCUGAUUUUAGUAAACUUGUUGGUCAAGAUUAUUAACCUAUGUAGAAAAUCUUUUUCUCUGUCUUAUCAAAAUCUUCAUGUGACAACUUUUGCCAUGCUGGCAGAAAAAAAAUCAAAUACACAAAAUGCCAAAUCUGAUCAUCAAAGCUGAGAAAUUACUUCUUCUUCUAGAUGGAAUAUAUUCUCUCCCAGGGCAAUAAAACAAUAAAAAUUUGGAAAAGAUUAGAGAGGCUUAAAUCAAGUGGUUAGUAAAUGAUUGUCUGUUGAACAUAUUGUGGGAUAUGGAGAGAGUGGAGAAGAGAUGUUUAAAAGAGAUAAGAGCAAGGAUAAAAAGAAAUAAUGAAGAUCUGGAAGUAGAGUCUGGAAAGAGACCAUACAUUCUAUUGCACAUUUUACUUUUCCAAAUCCCUCUUUCAACUUAGUAAAAUGGGUCCUAACUAAUAGUAACUAACAAGUGACUAUAAUUUAUUUUGUAUGAAGAUGGGUGACAAAUAUUCAUUCUUAUAAAAUACAACCAGGGCUAACCAUCGUAGGGUAAAAGUGAGUUAGUCUUUGGGUGAAAUGCUUAGGAUAAAGUCUUUAGUGAUUAAGCAUCAAAAACAACAGCACUCUUGAAGUUCCCACUGUGGUUCAGUGGGUUAAGAACCCAACGUGGUGUCUGUGAGGAAGCAGGUUUGAUCGCUGGCCUUGUUCAGUGGUUAAGUAUCCCAUAUUGCCACAAGCUGCAGUGUAGGUGGCAGAUGUUGCUCAGAUCUGGCAUUGCUGUAGUGUAGUCCUCAGGGGCAGCUCCAAUUCGACCUCGAGCCUAGGAACUUCCAUAUGCCACAGGUGUGGCUAUAAAAAGAAAAAGAAAACAACGACAACACUCUAGUGGAUAUCACCCUGUCCAUCACUGGUAACUGCAUCAUUUCAGAAACAGUGAAUGAAACUUGAAAAACAGAGUGACACAAACUGUGAAAUAAGCCAGAGUGUUACUACAGCAUCGGUUCUCACAAAGAUUUGUCUAGAGCUGCUGCAUAUGUCUUACUUGGACAUCUAAUAAGGCUCAGCCAGCAUGAUGUCACCAGUGCACUGGGCCAACCAGCCCUUCUGUGGGGUGGAAAGGUGAGCAAAGAAAAUGAAAAUGUAUUCCACUGUCUUCCAGCUCCCUUUAUUUCCAUCAAGAAAUCUGCUGUCAUAUCCUUUGUUGGUUAUUUUAGUUUUCACUUUCAUUCAGUUUUAAGUACUUUUCUUAAUCUUAUUCUACAGCUGUUAAUACAAUGUUUCUUGGCAGAUUUUUGGGUCAAUGUACUUAGGAUACAUUAUAGUUUCUGACCCCUAGUGAUGCUAUGGACAUUUGGCUUGGAACAGCUCAAUCUCUCCAAUUUCUUUUGUGUUCACUGUUUCAAGGUCUGGAUUUAGCUCAUUUUUUUUUUUUUUCAGGGAGAAAGUAAAUCUUCAGAUAUUUUAUUUUAUGAGAAUCCACAAUGCAAUUAAACAUUUAUUAUAUACAGUAUCUAGUUAUAUUUUAGUGGGAGCCCUUCAAAAUGCUGCCCAUUGAAAAUAUUCAGCCCAGAAUAUUUACCAUAAAUUCCAUGUCUGAAAUAACUAUAUUGUUAACAUACUGGAAUGAUAUAAAAUAAUUUUAAAGAUUAUCAAAACACCUGGCAUUUUAAAAAUAGAAACUCUCUAGUUAUGUUUAAAACAUUAGAGUUUAUAGAGAUUAAAAGUGUUUUCUUCCUUUAAUCACUAUUCUGGAAUCUCAGUCUGAGCUGUUCUACUCUGCUCCUUAAUGCUGAGAACAUUCUGAAGGAUUUACUUUUGUUUAAUAUUUAUAUAUUCUAGAUUUCAUGUUCUUUUCCUGAAGGCAAUGUAUAUAUUCAUAGUGAAUUAUUUAGCAUCAAUCAUGGGCAACCUUGAUGCUGCUUCUUUUAAUCUUUCUGACUAAGAAAUGAUGUUCUCAUAGGUAUGCAAUGAAACAUGGUUUUGAGAGUCUUUUAAAAAAAACCAUAUAUUAAAACCUUUUGAGAAUCUAAGCAAAACGGUUUGUUUCCCACCAUUAACAUUAAUGUAAUGCAAUCUUUAUUUCUGGAAUAGCCAAUAUUCACAGUAAUAGAAGUUUUAGAAAAGACUCACUCUUCAAUUCUCUUUGCCAAUUUACUCAAACAUUAUCAAAAAGAUUGUGUAUUGUAGUUUUCUUCUUGAGAGAAAUAUAGACAAUAAUCUCUUUGAAAAGAGGGGGAGUCAGAAUACCUGUUGUGGUAACGAACCCAACUAGUAUCCAUGAGGACUCAGGUUUGAUCCCUAGCCUUGCCCAGUGGGUUAAGGAUCCGGC
rnacentral:lncRNA from 1 species